GGUAGCAUGGCUGAGUGGUCUACGGUGCUGGAUUAAAGCUCCAGUCUCUUUGGGGACAGGGGUUUGAAUCCCACUGCUGCCA
rfam:Nipponia nippon contig24920, whole genome shotgun sequence.